GAAAGAAAGAAAGAAAGAGAUAGAAAAAAGGAUAAUAUAGGUACCGGUCUGCUUAACAGACGAGGUAGAAGGCACGAACAACCGCACACGCUCUCUCUGUCAAAAUAAACGGCACUAUCGCGAUUUAUCUCGUUUCCCAUGAUAAUAAGAGAUAAAACUGCAUCCUUACAUUAGCUACUAUAUCAGCUAAAAUGAUAAUUUCAGUCGUCGGAUUCGCCAGGAAGGUGUAGGGCCGUGGUGUUCCUCUUACACUUUUCGUGCGUUCGAGUUGACUCAGAUCCGUUCGACUCGUCGAAACUAAAGUAACGAAAAGAUCGCGGAAGAAGAGUAAAUUUUUGUUUUUUUUUUUUUUCUUUACGGAAGUGCCCGGUGAAAGUGGAGAAAGAAUUACCAUGAUCGAAUUGUCGAAGUUCCGUCGGAUGAUUACGGUGUCGCGAGUACGUACUUGAGAAUCUCUAACGAGAUUUUCUUUUCAAAGGCAUGGGGAAUCGUCCUCUUUCGUGUUCGAUCAGUGAUCUCGAUGAUUUAAGCUUCUUCUUCACGUGGGACUUUAAUUGUUCGCGAGUUUUUGUUCUUUCUUUUUGGAGUGAUCUAGAUACUUCCAAUAUCAGAAUAAUGAAAGAAGAGGAAGAAAAGAGGAAAAGUUAGGGAAACGUGAAAAGAUAAUGAAAAACACGUCGACCAGAGCAAGAGCAAACACAGAAGCACGUGCACCGUUGCGUAUGUUUCUUUCGUAGAUGCUCCCUUUCCUCCUAUCGAACUAUUACCGAUGUCUAGUUAACACGUUGAAUGCUAUGGGGGUCAUCGGUGAUCGACAGUGUAUUUGUCUGUAGCGUCAUGGGAACCACCGUUGACCACAACGACGCGAAGAUUAAUAGAAACGCCUAAUUAGAGCAAAUGUCAAUAUUUAUCAAUUUUUCAAUACCAUUAUCAAUAAUGGUGUGAAGGUAUCCAAUAAGAUAACUUCGUGAAACGUUAUUAUAUACCUCAACUUAUUCAUUGCAGAUAAUAUUUUAAAAUAAUAUAUACCACAUAACAACAGAUUCACAUUGGCGUUGUGGACCAGUCAUGUAAUAUUAAUACGACAUUCAACGUGUUAAAUAAGAAAAAAAAAAACAACGAUAAACACGAAUAUCGAUUUAUGUUGAAAGUGAUCUCUACGUUCGAAAACAAUUUUAUUUGCUUAAUAAUUAAUAUUAAUAAAUAAAGAAAAAAGAAGAAGAAAAACUUACGUUUGUGACGGCUUCGUUAGAAGAGGAUAGAAGAUGAACAAUGAAAGUCGUCGAACUUGCUCUCCCUCCGAGUGAGAUCUUUUGAAAAUUAUCUUUCUCUCACUUUCUCUCCCUCUCUCUGUUUGACUCUCUCUCUCUCUCUCUCUCUCUCUCUAUUAUUUUUUAUCUUCUUCUUCUUUAAAAUCUCUUCGUUUCUUUCUAUUUCUCUCCCUGUUUCUUUCUCGAAUGUUUUUUCUUCUUUUUCGUUUCGAAACUUUUCGUUAUGGAAUUUUUCGUUACAAUUUCUUUUUCUCUUUUUUUCUGUUUCAAAUUAACCGGAUGAAAUUCUCUCGUACUUUUUCGUAGCACUUUUUUCCACACGCUUGUGCGUCCGCGACGCCUCGCGAGUGUUUGCGCUUGACACAGGUGCGCGUUCGCUCUUCCAAGGUGCGUGCACGAGCGAGUCGAGCGAGCAAUGUAAAAUGAGAAAGAGAGAUAGAUGUAGAAUCGGAUGAUACCACACCACGGCUGCCGCCUGGUAGCGCCGUUUCGAAGCUCCGAUUCGAUCGGAGUACCCGUCAAAUAUUGACCGACAACCACCGACGAUCACCUUCUGUCCACUUCUCUCUCUCUCUCUCUUUCUCUCUCGCAUUUUCCUUUUUUUUCUAGUCAUCGACGCCAUUUUGUAGAGUUUUAUAUAUAUAUAUAUAUACACAUAUAUCUGUUUCUC